AAGCCCAGCUCAGCCCAGCGCAGCCCAGAAAGGGCCCAACCCUGUGAUUGGUCCAACCCUGUGAUUUGUCCUUGGGUCCCUGUUGCCAGGAAUCCAGGCCAAGAAAAUGAGAAGGAAGGAAGGGAGUGUGUAGGUCCAGUGAGGACGAGAGUGAAAUUUAUAUCUCUGCCCAGGUCUCGGUGCCUGCACCGCCAUAGACACCACCAGGGCACUGGGGACGCUGGGUGCACUGGAGCCCGAGACCCCUCUUCCUGGCCAUGGCUGUCCUGGUCGCCAGUACUGUGGGCUGUGAUUCUGAGUAUGCUAUUGUCCAAGGGUGAGUGACCCUCAAUGGGAAGGGGUUGCGUCCGGCCCCCCUGGGGACACAAAACCCCCAUUGCAUGGCGCACCAACUGCGCCCUGGCGUCCUGCUCGCGUCUGAGCGUGAGCAGAGUGUGUGUACAUCUUUGGGCCGUUUGCAGUCACGCGUGUGCACAUGGCGUGCACGUAUGUGUGCGAGUCCCCGCGCGUUUGUCUCCCAUAGGCGUGUGUGCAUAUCGUGUGCGCUAUAUGCCUGCCUGCCCGCCCGCUCUGUGGUCCCGAGUCGGGGGACCCCGCACCCCCCGGGCAAGGGAAGGAUUUCCGAGUCCCUGGCCUUGCCUGCAGGAGCCUCUCCGCAGCCUCCACGGAGCGCGCGGCGCUGCUCGGCUGCCAGGACCCGCUGAGGACAAACGGUGUGUGCAGAGCCGGGCGCCUGGGCCCCCGGGGCGUGUGCGGCGGGAGCGUCUGAGACCCCAGAGAUGGAGUCCUGGGUGCGUGGGGGCCCUGUGGUCCCUGAGGCUGGCCCCGGGGUGGGGAAGGGAGUCCCCUGAGUCCUCCCAAGUGACCCGGCGGGCAUGCGUUUUGGGAUGGGGGUCGUUCCAGCCUCGAAGCAGACGGCGGCGCUGGGUGCCCUGGAGGAGGAGGUGGGAGCCUGCCACAGCUGCUGUGAGGGGGCGCGGCCCAGACUAUGGGCGCAGGGACCGGGUCUUGUGGCUGGGAUGGGAGGAGGACCGGGGGCGAGGCCUGCGGCGGGUGGGGCGUGGCGGGGGCUGGUCUCCGAAGUCCCGCCCCAUCCUCGCCGCCCUCGCCCCUCUCACCCCGCGGCUCCCAGGCUCGGGGACGCAGGCGCUGCUGCAGACCACGAGCGCGGAGCUUGGGGAGGCGCAGGCGAAGCUGAUGGAGCAGGAGAGCGCCCUGCGGGAACUGCGUGAGCGCGGGACCCAUGGCUUGGCUGAAGCCGGCAGGGACCGCGAGGACGUCAGCACUGAGCUGUACCGGGCGCUGGAGGCCGUGAGGCUGCAGAACAGUGAGGGUUCCUGUGAGCCGUGCCCUACGUCGUGGCUGCCCUUCGGGGGCUCCUGCUACUAUUUCUCUGUGCCGAAGACCACGUGGGCAGAGGCGCAGGGCCACUGCGCCGAUGCCAGCGCACAUCUGGUGAUGUAGGGGGCCUGGGGGAGCAGGACUUCCUGAGUCGUGACACUAGUGCCCUUGAAUACUGGAUCGGCCGCAGGGCCGUGCAACACCUGCGCAAGGUUCAGGGCUACUCGUGGGUGGACGGAGUCCCACUCAGCUUCAGGAAGAUUCACUUCCAGAGCCUUGAGACAACAUGUAAAAAGUUCAACUACCCUGAGACUGCAGUGAUGGAGAUGUCAUGUGGAGAGACCACAUGGAAAGUCCCUGAAGCUACAGGAGGAGAGGGAGAGAGAGAGAGAAAGAGAUCGAUCCCCCAAGAGACUUCCAUCAUUUGAGUCAUCCCAGCCCAGGAACCAGACAUGUGAAUGAAGAAGCUACCUGAUAAUCCCAGCCACCAGAUACCAGCUCCCAGCCACUGGAGGCACUCCCCCACUCUUCAAGUCUCCCCACCUUAAGCCCUAGAUGUCAUGGAUCAGAGACAAACCAUCCCCACUAUGCCCUGUCCAAACUUCAGACCCACAAAAACCAUGAGCAUAUUAAAAAUGAUUGCUGUUUUAUGCCACUGAGUUCUCGGAUGGUUUCUCACACAGCAAUAGAAAACUGGAACACGGCUGGGUGCAGUGGCUCAUGACUGUAAUCCUGGCACUUUGGGAGGCUGAGACAGGUGGAUCACCUGAGGUCAGGAAUUCAAGACCAGCCUGGCCAACAUGGUGAAACCCCAUCUCUACUAAAAAAAAAUACAAAAAAUUAGCCAGGCGUGGUGGCGUGAGCCUGUAAUCCCAGCUACUUGGGAGGCUGAGGCAGGAGAAUUGCUUGAACCCGGGAGGCAGAGAUGGCAUUGAGCCAAGACCACACCAUGGCACUCUAGCCUGGGCAAUGAGAUAGAAGCUGCAUCUGAAAAAAAAAAAGAAAGAAAGAAAGAAAAAAGAAAAGAAGAAAGGAAACUGGAACAGAUAACCUCACUCACAGCUGGAGGUUGGUCGGCUGACAGUUUAGGCCAUGAGGGUGACUGAGCCAUGUGCCUCUCACCUUUCAGGCUACCUCUGGCUUGUUCACAUGAUGGUUAAGAGUGGCAAGAUCAGUGCAAAAUGACAAAGUAGGCAGUUCCAAGCCCGCGUUCCCCACAGAAACAUCAAAAAACAAGCAGAAACUGUCAGAUACAACUUUGUCAGAACUCUGGGAAACAGUCAAAGGUUUACGGUAGUCCAGUGAAUGCUGAAUCAAGAAGAAAGACAACUUCAAAACGAUCAAAAGCUUUUGAUAUUUCGACUUGCCUUUGCCCCACUUGCCACUGCCCUCCCUUGUGUGACAGCAGUAGUGGGAAGAGGGAAGCCCACACUCCCAGCAUGAGACUCUCGUUCCUCCUUCCAGAGGGAGCAGAGCAGACUUUAUUUGUAGAUGAUAGUGUAUGUCCGCUCUAAGCUGUCUGGGAUCCACCUGAAGGACAAGGUGCUCAUCUCUGGUUUUCCUGCCUCGGAACUCAGGCUGGAAAAGUGGUGGCACUGCUCAGAAACACUGCAAGCCAAACUAACAAACCACAGAUGUCUGUUCCAAAGAUUACAAUCAAAACACACAAUAGACGGCCUAAGGCUCAGGAGCAAAAGCUGGGGAGACUUUCCUGGGGAAAUUAGAAGCACCUGCAUGUAUAGGGGGAUUUAUAAACACAGGGUUAUGCCAACAGCAAGAUGCAUGCUCAGAAAAGACCUGAGAAGACCCUAAGUUAUGCUCAGCUGAUCCCUAGGCUCAGGGCAAGCCGGGUUAAAUGUUGAAAGAGUGCUCCAGCACAGGGCCAAUCUGCAAAGACUGAGCGAGGGAAAGAUUUUUUGUUUGGUUGGUUUGCUUGCUUUUUUAGCUCCUGGUGUUCAAGAAAAUCUGUCAAAACACUAGCUGAACACAAGCUAAGGAAUAGAGACUUCGGUGACCACAUGCGACAAGUAAUAUAGUCUUUGCAAGAAUAGUUUUGCAAAGUCAUUAAGCCAAAACUACUACGGUUUUUAACAAUAAAACAAACAACAAACCAGCAAACCCUGGGACAGUGGGAGAAUCUGACAUCCAAAUUUAUCACAUUACAAAUAUUCAAAUGUCCAGUUUUUAACAAGAAAAAUCACAAGGUAUAAAGAGAAAAAGGAAAUUAUGGCCCAUUGAAAGGGCAAAAAAAAUAGCAAAUUGACAGGAAUUAUUCCUGAGAAAGUCCAGAUCUGAGACUUACUAGACAAAGACUUUAAAACAAUUGUCUUAAAUAUGCUCAAAGAGCUAAGGGAAAACAUGGACAAAAAUCUAAAGGAAACCAGGUAAACAAUGUAUGAAUAAAAUGAGACUAUCAAUAAAAAAAUGGCCAGGCGUGGUGGCUCACGCCUAUAAUCCCAGCACUUUAGGAGGCUGAGUUGGGUGGAUCACUUGAGGUCAGGAGUUCGAGACCAGCCUGGCCAACGUGGGGAAACCUCAUCUCUACUGAAAAUAUAAAAAUUAGCCGUCACUGUGGCAGGCACCUGUAAUCCCAGCUACUCAGGAGGCUGAGAGAGGAGAAUCACUUGAACACAAGAGGCGGAGGCUGCAGUGAGCUGAGAUUGCGCUACUGCACUCCAGCCUGAGUGACAGAGUGAGACCCUGUCUCAAAAAAAAAAGAAAAAGAAAAAAAAGUAUGAAGGCCAGA